rnacentral:rRNA from 1 species
AGAGUUGAUCCUGGCUCAGGACGAACGCUGGCGGCGUGCCUAAUACAUGCAAGUCGAACGCACUGACGGAGAACUUGUUCUCUUGACGUGAGUGGCGCACGGGUGAGUAACACGUGGGAAACCUACCCUUCAGCGGGGGAUAACCAUCGGAAACGAUGACUAAUACCGCAUAGACGACAGAACCGCCUGGUUCAAUCGGGAAAGACGGCUUCGGCUGUCACUGAAGGAUGGUCCCGCGCUGCAUUAGCUAGUUGGUAAGGUAACGGCUUACCAAGGCGAUGAUGCAUAGCCGACCUGAGAGGGUGAUCGGCCACAUUGGGACUGAGACACGGCCCAAACUCCUACGGGAGGCAGCAGUAGGGAAUCUUCCGCAAUGGACGCAAGUCUGACGGAACAACGCCGCGUGUGUGAAGAAGGUUUUCGGAUCGUAAAGCACUGUUAUUAGAGAAGAACAGCCGAUAGAGUAACUGUUAUCGGUUUGACGGUAUCUAACCAGAAAGUGACGGCUAACUACGUGCCAGCAGCCGCGGUAAUACGUAGGUCACAAGCGUUGUCCGGAUUUAUUGGGCGUAGAGGGAGCGCAGGCGGUUUGUUAAGUCUGAUGUGAAAGCCCACGGCUCAACCGUGGAACGGCAUUGGAAACUGGCAAACUUGAGUAUAGAAGAGGAAAGUGGAAUUCCAUGUGUAGCGGUGAAAUGCGUAGAUAUAUGGAGGAACACCAGUGGCGAAGGCGACUUUCUGGUCUAUAACUGACGCUGAGGCUCGAAAGCGUGGGGAGCGAACAGGAUUAGAUACCCUGGUAGUCC